CGAUCUUCUGCAAGAAAAUGCUUUGGUAUGUUUCCAAACUGGCUGCCAGAGCCAGGAGGAAGUGAAGGCAGUAGACACUAACUGUGGUUGGUUACUACCUCCUUAACGCUGAGACUAUGACCUUUGUUGGUUGUUUGGUAGAGAACAGGAGAGCACAACCCUCGUUCCACUAACAGCUCUAUUUCAGUGCUUCUCUCCUCCCAGAGGUGCAAGGAGUGAUCCUAGAGCCACAGAUACAGCCAAGACCACGGAGAGCUUUUGACGGCAGGGCUCCACUUUCUCCACUGAACCCUUGGAGACAGAAUGUCCAGCUUCUGGAGAGAGUGGGAAAGGAUAAUAAACAAGUGUCUUGAUAAUUGGAGACCGGUUUACUUGUUGUCUAAUUGCCCAGAUUUCUUUCAACUGGUCAAACAUCAUACCUCUUCAGCAAAAGGAGUUCUUCUAGCAGAGCCCUCCUCCCUCACGGAUGACACCUGUCACUCAUGGCAGCACCUACAGAGUGGAAGGCAGUGGUGAAUGGAUCCAUGCCCUCUGUCUAGAAGACACAAGGAUGAGCCAACCACCUGAGCUUGUUUCUCACAAACUUUUAACGUUUACUCUGGUUUACUUUUGGUCUGAAAUGGAAAGGCUCAAAUAAUGAAGUAAUCUUUUCAUUGGAGUUUUACAUGGCCAUGACAAUACUUCUUAUCCUGAAGACUGAAAUAGAGGAAGCUUGAGAGUCUUCUUUCAAAGCAGCUCUCUGUAUAUGUUUACUUAAAAGAUUUGUGGGACUGACAGUCACUUUAAUCAAACAGGCAACCCCCACUUUAAAAAGUAGCAUUAAAAAAAAAAAACAACACAUAAAGCUGAAUGAGCCCCCCAAACACCUCUCCUUUUGUUACCAGUGCUUAAGGGACUAGCAGGUAAAGGGUGAAUCCAACUCUUCACGAGUUCGUUAGUGUUAGGAUGUACUCUUGGCUCAUCUCUGCCGGUCCUGAGCCGUAUUCUUACUGUAGUUUAUCACGUCAAGAAAGUCAGAGAACUGUCUCAGUCUCGGAGACCAAGGAGGUCGGUCUGUGUUGCUAAGAAGUAAAUGCCUUGUUGGGUUUAUUCUGCAUUCCGACACUUGAAUGGUACCGAGCAGUUCAGAACAGAGGUAAUAAAGAGUCAGAUGAGCCUAUAGGUGCGAAUAGGCUUAAAGUAAUUAUCCAAAUUACCAAUUGGCAGUAGCUACCUGUUUCUUCUUUUAGUUAUCUAUUACCUAGUAACUGGCCAGUCCAAGCUAUUAAGGAAAACCAACAUUCACUUGAUGCUGCCAGUGCUUUUUAAUUUGGAAUAGCCUAAGAAAAGGAAUUAAGAUUUUUAUAAUAAUAGAAGAACAACUGAAAUGUUAGGCUCUCAAAGUGUAAAACUCAAUCUGCUAAGACAGAACCUACUUUUAGUCUUGGCUAUAAGAAAUAUUUCUUAAUUAUGAAUCAGUUUUGAAAAGUAUAGUGCUUAAAAGUAAAAUGUUAAAGAUAAUUUUGAAUUGAAAAUUUCUCCCAUAUACCCCUGAAUUCCCAUAGAAUGAUUACAGCUUUGUGUUCCUGGCUUAAUAAGAUAGUUCAUAAACAUAUAAACAAACAAACAAACAAACAAAAAACCCAAAUUACCCAGUAUUUUAGAAAACUCAGAACUGAAAUUGAGAUUUGCCUAGAUACUCAGUUGCAUUUUUUAAAACCUUGGUGCAAACCAUUUUAUGGCCUGAGUUUACUAGCCUUUUGUGUUAGCACUGAAGCUGGAAAGCGAUUUAACCUUGGAAUCUCAAGCUUAAGUUAAUUUCAGCUCUGUUCCCUAAAGUAUGCAAAAGAAAUGUAAGUGCAUUUCCAUCACCACAUGCACGGUGGCAAGCUGUUGCAAAGUGAAAUUCUCUGUGUAUUACUGUGAACUAAUUUGUUUACAUUUUAAUUCUGAUGCAUUUUCUUUCAGAUUUUUAAAGAAUAAUUUCGUGUCAUACUAUGCAAUCCUAUAUCUCUUCCGUGU